GAUGAAACGCUGGCGGCGUGCUUAACACAUGCAAGUCGAGCGAAGCGCUUUUGCGGAUUUCUUCGGAUUGAAGCAAAUUGUGACUGAGCGGCGGACGGGUGAGUAACGCGUGGGUAACCUGCCUCAUACAGGGGAUAAACAGUUGGAAAACGGCUGCUAAUACCGCAUAAAGCGCACAGUACCGCAUGGUAACGGUGUGAAAAAACUCCCGGUGGUAUGAGAUGGACCCGCGUCUGAUUAGGUAGUUGGUGGGGUAACGGCCUACCAAGCCGACGAUCAGUAGCCGACCUGAGA
rnacentral:rRNA from 1 species